rnacentral:rRNA from 1 species
UACGUAGGGAGCAAGCGUUGUUCGGAUUCAUUGGGCGUAAAGGGUGUGUAGGUGGCGCCGUAAGUCGGGUGUGAAAUUUCGAGGCUUAACCUCGAAACUGCAUUCGAUACUGCGGUGCUUGAGGACUGGAGAGGAGACUGGAAUUCAUGGUGUAGCAGUGAAAUGCGUAGAGAUCAUGAGGAAGACCAGUGGCGAAGGCGGGUCUCUGGACCGAGACUGACGCUGAGGCGCGAAAGCGUGGGGAGCAAACAGG